rnacentral:rRNA from 1 species
ACAGGUGCUAAUACCGCAUAACAGUUUAUGCCGCAUGGCAUAAGAGUGAAAGCGGCUUUCCCCACGGCGAGAUGGAUGCUCCCGCGGNGCAUUAGCUAGUUGGUGAGGUAACGGCUCACCAUGGCCACGAUGCAUAGCCGACCUGAGAGGGUGAUCGGCCAGUCUGCCACUGAGAAANGGCCCAGNNUCCUACGGNAGGCAGCAGUAGGGAAUGAAGGGCAAUGGACGAAANUCUGAACGAGCAACGCCGCGUGAGUGAAGAAGGUUUUCGGAUCGUAAAACUCNGUUACCUGAGAAGAACAAGGACGUUAGUAACUGAACGUCCCCUGAUGGUAUCUAACCAGNAAGCCACGGCUAACUACGUGCCANGAGCCGCGGUAAUACGUAGGUGGCAAGCGAUGUCCGGAUUUAUUGGGCGUAAACCGAGCGCAGGCGGUUUCUUAAGUCUGAUGUGAAAGCCCCCGGCAGAACCGGGGACGGUCAUUGGAAACUGGGAGACUUGAGUGCAGAAGAGGAGAGUGGAAUUCCAUGUGUAGCGGUGAAAUGCGUAGAUUAUUGGAGGAACACCAGUGGCGAAGGCGGCUCUCUGGUCUGUAACUGACGCUGAGGGAGCAAAGCGUGGGGAGCAAACAGGAUUAGAAUCCCUGGUAGUCCACGCCGUAAACCUAGAGUGCUAAGUGUUGGAGGGUUUCCGCGCUUCAGUGCUGCAGCAAACGCAUUAAGCACUCCGCCUGGGGAGUACGACCG